AGUUGUGUAGGGGUAAAAUCCGUAGAGAUAACUAGGAAUACCAAAAGCGAAGGCAAUUUUCUGGAACAGUACUGACGCUCAGAUGCGAAAGCGUGGGUAGCAAACAGGAUUAGAUACCCUGGUAGUCCACGCCCUAAACGAUGAAUGUUAGUCGUCGGGAGGCUCGUCCUUUCGGUGAUGCAGUUAACACAUUAAACAUUCCGCCUGGGGAGUACGGUCGCAAGAUUAAAACUCAAAGGAAUAGACGGGGACCCGCACAAGUGGUGGAGCAUGUGGUUUAAUUCGAAGAUACGCGAAGAACCUUACCUAGCCUUGACAUUGAUAGAAUCUGAUAGAAAUAUCGGAGUGCCAGUUUACUGGAGCUUGAAAACAGGUGCUGCACGGCUGUCGUCAGCUCGUGUCGUGAGAUGUUGGGUUAAGUCCCGCAACGAGCGCAACCCUCGUCCUUAGUUACUAACGGUUCGGCCGAGGACUCUAAGGAGACUGCCUUCGUAAGGAGGAGGAAGGUGAGGACGACGUCAAGUCAUCAUGGCCCUUACGGCUAGGGCGACACACGUGCUACAAUGGAUAGGACAAUGAGACGCAAUACCGCGAGGUGGAGCAAAUCUAUAAACCUAUUCUCAGUUCGGAUUGUAGUCUGCAACUCGACUACAUGAAGCUGGAAUCACUAGUAAUCGUAGAUCAGCCAUGCUACGGUGAAUACGUUCCCGGGUCUUGUACUCACCGCCCGUCACACCAUGGGAGUUGGUUUCACCCGAAGCGGGGAAGCUAAACUGGCUACCCUCCACGGUGGAAUCAGCGACUGGGGUGAAGUCGUAACAAGGUAACC
rnacentral:rRNA from 1 species